rnacentral:rRNA from 1 species
AUUAGAUACCCUGGUAGUCUACGCCGUAAACGAUGGUUACUAGCUGUUCGUCACGCCUUUGGCGAGAUGAGUGGUUAAGCGAAAGUGAUAAGUAACCCACCUGGGGAGUACGUUUGCAAGAAUGAAACUCAAAGGAAUUGACGGGGGCCCGCACAAGCGGUGGAGCAUGUGGUUUAAUUCGAUGAUACGCGAGGAACCUUACCAAGGCUUAAAUGCAUAUUGACAUCCCGGGAAACCGGGACUUCUUCGGACAAUUUGCAAGGUGCUGCAUGGUUGUCGUCAGCUCGUGCCGUGAGGUGUCAGGUUAAGUCCUAUAACGAGCGCAACCCCUGUGGUUAGUUACCAGCAUGUAAUGAUGGGGACUCUAGCCAGACUGCCGGUGCAAACCGUGAGGAAGGUGGGGAUGACGUCAAAUCAUCACGGCCCUUACGCCUUGGGCUACACACGUGCUACAAUGGUAUAUACAAUGAGCAGCCAUCUGGUGACAGAGCGCUAAUCUAUAAAGUAUAUCACAGUUCGAAUCGGAGUCUGCAACUCGACUCUGUGAAGCUGGAAUCGCUAGUAAUCGCACAUCAGCCAUGGUGCGGUGAAUACGUUCCCGGGCCUUGUACACACCGCCCGUCAAGCCAUGGAAGCCGGGAGUGCCUGAAGUCCGUAGCCGAAAGGAGCGGCCUAGGGUAAAACUGGUAACUGGGGCUAAGUCGUAACAAGGUA